AUAUGUCAGAAUUGUUUAGGUCAAUUGAAAUUACUAAAUGACUCGAGUAGGUAUGAAUUCACGUUGCCACAUGACCUUAAUUAUUUUAUGUAGCAACAUCAAGUAUUGAAUGUCAUUUACUUAUUAAUUAUGACAUGUAGCAAAUCAAAUUACAUGCCGCAAUUUCGUGUUUAUGAUGGGCUCAUGCUUACAUUCAUAUAUAACCCUUCAAUACGUAGUUGGAGCAACUCUUAGACAAGAAGACUGUGCAAAACAAUGAUAUGCCUAUUCAAUGUCAAAAAGAUUAAUGUCUCAAUAGAUUUGAUCUACAUUUCGGCAAAGUAAUCUUAUGUUCAUAUUUUUUCUAACCUAUGGUGAACAUUCUUAAUCUUGUGAAAUUCAUUCAAAAAUAUAUUUCAUUAUUUAUGGACUUAAGUGAAUUCUGAGCAAAAUGAAGUGAUUAUGAUUACGUUCAUGUACUUUAAAUUUAUACUGGUGAUCAACACGUAAUUUCAUCCCUUACUGUAUGUGCACCAUGCAUUAUCUGUACACGCACAAGUGGUUAUCCAUUGUUUCAUAACAUGGUUGAGUAAAGGAUGUUCUGCUUUUAGUAUUAAGCCAAUCGGGUGUUGACAAAAAGGGGAAAAUGCAAUUGCUCAGCUAGUACAGGUUUUUUUACAACCAUAAUACUGGUUAAGCCUUGGUUACAUUCGCCGGCUGGUGGCCUUACGGCAAUUCAAAAUUAGCCGUUUUAAUCAUCCUUGUACCAGCUACUACCAGCUACACGCAGUCAGACCGCAGCUCGCGCGAUAAUGAGUAUAUUCACGGAAAUUUAUUCAGCGGCCCUCUAGCGGUCUCCGAAGGAAAACGUGCGAUCAAUUUGGCUUGAUUUUCCCACUGAAUUGGAGGGGCUGAAGUUAUAGCUCUGUACUGGUCGCUAACUUCAGUUUACGUCGAAACGAAUUGUGAUCUGCAUACUUGCUGACUCUGGUCUCUGCUUGCUACUUCAUUCUGGGAGAGUCCAUCAUGUACUAUAAUGGUCAGACCAUGAUUUCGACAAAGCCCUUAUUUCGUUUGCAAAUUUUGGACUGAUACAACAGAAAAUUUAUCUUUAUCGAUAUUGGAAACAAAAAAAUUAGAGCACAGUUUUGGGGAGGACUAAGAAUACUGACUUGGACAGGAAUACAGCUUGACAAAAAUAAAAAUUCACAAUUCAAAACCAAAGAACAUUUUUAAUGUUACUAAUAUUGCAUUGCAAGAAACUUUAUACUCAAUCACACAUUCCAAAAUUAAGGGUAAGUCCUUUGAUUAAACACAAACAUGUAGUUGAUUUGCAAUUGAAAUUGAACAUAAGUUUCUUGCAAUGCCCCAUAAUCAUAUUUUGUUCUCAAGCAACUCUGUUAUAUGUUAUCUAAUGUGCUGAAGGUUAAGUGCCAUGUAUGUUCACAAUUUUUUUUUUCGAAGGUAUAAUAUAUUUGUCCUUUUAAACGGUA